AUUGAACGCUGGCGGCAUGCUUUACACAUGCAAGUCGAACGGCAGCACGAAAGAGCUUGCUCUUUUGGUGGCGAGUGGCGAACGGGUGAGUAACAUAUUGGAACGUACCGAGUAAUGGGGGAUAACUAUCCGAAAGGAUAGCUAAUACCGCAUACGCUUUAAGAAGGAAAGUGGGGGCUCUUCGGACCUCACGUUAUUCGAGCGGCCAAUACCUGAUUAGCUAGUUGGUGGGGUAAAAGCCCACCAAGGCGACGAUCAGUAGCGGGUCUGAGAGGAUGAUCCGCCACACUGGGACUGAGACACGGCCCAGACUCCUACGGGAGGCAGCAGUGGGGAAUUUUGGACAAUGGGCGCAAGCCUGAUCCAGCCAUGCCGCGUGUCUGAAGAAGGCCUUCGGGUUGUAAAGGACUUUUUUAGGGCUGAAAAGGAUAGUGCUAAUACCAUAUCUGCUGACGGACCUAAAGAUAGCCCCGCA
rnacentral:rRNA from 1 species